UUUGUCUUUUAUUGAUAUUAUUUAUAUUUUUGAUAGUAUAAAAGAAAAUUUUCAUGGAAAAUAACACAAGUUAUCAUAUUGUGUUCACUCUACACUGUACUGUUUCUUGUAAAACUAAUAAUUCAACUUUUUCUUUAGUUUUUUGUAAAGUAUUAUCAAAAAAACAUGACAAAUUACUAUGUCAAUACUUUUACUGCAUAUCUGUUGGCCAUUUUUUUAUUAAUGUCAAUUUUUAUCACAAUGGCAAUUUCCGAAUCACUGAAUGUCAUAAAUGUUCCUAUACAAUGUCCCCCUGAAAAAACAAAAGUUGGUGAUAGAUGUCGUAUUGUCUUCUGAAUUCAAUGUUAGGAAUAUGACAGUUGCAAUUCGUAUUUGAAAA